GAAGAGUAGGAGAAGGGAGACGAUAGAGAGGAGAGGGCAGGAGAGAAGAGACCAUCACCCAGGCCUCCUUCAAGGACAAUGAGAAGCCCUGGAUGGAGGUGGCCUCUCUGGGAGGCAGAAGGAGCCCGUGUCAACAGAAGUAGGAUCCCUAGGAGGGUGGCCAGAAGAGUGAGCCACCCAGAAUCCAUGGCCCAAGCUCUUACACUCCUGCUAGGACCACAACACCAGCUCUUGUGGGUGACAGCCGCUCUGCCCCACCCCGGUGCUCAUUCAGGUUGCUACAGCCCUGAGGAAAAAGCCCACAAGAAUUGGUAAUUCUCAUCCCCUUCUCCUCUCUGACUUCAUCUGGGUGAAGCAAGCACCUGUUUCUAAGUGUUCUUUUACACUGCUGAAGAACACCUCUGGCUAAAAACAAAGUGUGGUACCUGAAUGCGGUGGAAUAUGUCUGUGCUGUGAGAAAUGUUGUUGGUGAUGAAUAGAGGAAAGCAUGGGAAGAUCUCCAUUGGAAGGAUGCAGGGUGAAGUCAGCAGAGCCAGGACACCAAUAAACACAGGGACUAGAGCAAUGUCAGUGGAAAGAAUGAUAAACCAAAAGAAUUCAAGUAAAUGUCCUAAAAGUAUAAAGCAGCAGCAGCACCGGAAUGGAAAUAUAGGGGAGGACAGCCCUAAGUCACCCUUCCAUGGAGGUUCCAGGUUCACAGAGAUUGGCACAGGACCACCCAGCAUGGCAUGCCCACAUCAAAGAAGGUGCUGUGCUCUAGGGGAAAGCAGAACUGCAGUAGCUAAAAAGAAAUAUGAGGUGUGCAAAUUUAGAGCCAUCUCCACUCCAAAUAGUCCAUGAACUAUUUGCGCCUGACCUGUGGUAAACUGUUCUGAGUCUGUGUUUGUCUGAUCAGCCAGUCAGACGCACCGUAUAUUGACCCCAACAUGGUGAUGCCAUUUUGCUCCUCUCUGGGUAUGAAUGACGAUCGCUAACAUUGGAAACGUUUUCAGACUUGUUUCCCCUCUUCUUUAUCAUUUUUCUUGUUUCAGAUCUUUUAAAAAUUUUAUUUGUUAUAUGGGAUGGCUCUCUGGAAAAGGGAGGGAGGGGAUACUGGAAAUAAUUAUG